GCUGGAGAGCUUGAAGAGUAAUGAAGCCAGCUUCUUGCUGACAGAUAUGUUCCUGAGCUUAUAGGAGUCCCUUUUCGGCCUCCUAAGAACAACUGCAUAAAUGGAUCCCACUUGCCACCAGCCUUCUUAGCUUAUGAAUCCCAGGAAAACAAAUAUCACCCAUAGCUUCAUAAUUGUGCUUCUGAAUUGGCUGACAUCAAAUUUCAAUCGAAAUUCUGUGACUCUGUGGCAGAGAGUACUGUUUUUGAUUCUUUCUUUUGUGGAAGUGUCAAAACCUGUCAGACAUUGAGUGACUGAAGUUAAUUCUCUGUAAUUCAAAGACUUGAAGCAGCCCAGAAGAGUUAGAUGAUGCUUUACAUGGAAGCACUUUACAGAAUUUUUCCCUAACCUACAACCCAAAAAGAAGAAUUUCUCUGCACUUGGAGAAGAGAAAUAAGUAGAGACAACUCAAGGAAGGGCUUGAUGGAUUGUGUUGCAGAAGACUUGACAGAAGAGAAAAAAAGCAAUUGCAGGAUGAAAUCACUGCUCUGUGUUUGUUUUGAAGCUGAGUUUGUCCAAUAUCUAUUAUUUUGCUCUCUCCUGGUUUGUCAAGAAAUCCCCAGCUAGCCUUCUUGGUUUUCCCUUGUAAGUCUGCUGGAGGAGUUUAUUGCAUCAAGUCUGUUUCCAAUCUCACUUACUACACUCUUCAUCUCUGAUUAAUUCAUUUGCAACUUUAUGUCCAUAGGAGGGAUCUCACUGAUGAAGACAUCAGUGAGAUGAAGAAUACACAGAGAGGAGAGAGAGAGGCAGAGACACAGGCAGAGGGAGAAGCAGGCUCCA